UCGGGAAUAUUGCGCAAUGGCGGAAACUCUGACGCAGUGACGCCGCGUAUAGGAAGAAGGUCUUCGGAUUGUAAACUAUUGUCGUUAGGGAAGAAAAAGGACAGUACCUAAGGAGGAAGCUCCGGCUAACUACGUGCCAGCAGCCGCGGUAAUACGUAGGGAGCAAGCGUUAUCCGGAUUUAUUGGGUGUAAAGGGUGCGUAGACGGGAUAAUAAGUUAGUUGUGAAAUCCCUCGGCUCAACUGAGGAACUGCAACUAAAACUGUUAUUCUUGAGUGUUGGAGAGGAAAGCGGAAUUCCUAGUGUAGCGGUGAAAUGCGUAGAUAUUAGGAGGAACACCAGUGGCGAAGGCGGCUUUCUGGACAAUAACUGACGUUGAGGCACGAAAGUGUGGGGAGCAAACAGG
rnacentral:rRNA from 1 species